GCGUCUCUGCGCGGAAAAUUUAACGGGGCUAAGAUACAAACCGAAGCUUAGGCUGUGUACAAUGUACACGGGGUAGGGGAGCGUUGUGUAAGCGGAGAAACAGUAGCGUAAGCGGCUGUGGAGUUUACAGAAGUGAGAAUGCCGGAAUGAGUAGCGCGAAUGUGGUGAGAAUCCACAUGGCCGGAAACCUCAGGUUUUUGGAGGAAGGUUCGUCCGCUCCAAGUUAGGCGGGAGCUAAGGUGAGGCCGAAAGGCGUAGCCGAUGCACAGACGGUAGAGAUUCCGUCCCCACCGAAAGAUUUAAGCACAGGGACACUUUUAGAAGGUCGGAGCCAGGUGUUGGUUCUGGUAGAGAUCGAGGGAAAUUUAGUACCGAAGUCCGGCUGGAUAAGAGGCGAGAAAAGCUGCGUGUAUAUCUAAGGUGCCCGUACCGCAAACCGACACAGGUAGGUAGGAAGAAGAUUCUAAGGCCAACGGGAGAAGGGUUGUUAAGGAACUCGGCAAGUUGACCCCGUAACUUCGGAAUAAGGGGUGCUCAUGAAAGUGAGCCGCAGAGAAUAGGCCCAGGCAACUGUUUACCAAAAACACAGGUUUGUGCUAAAUCGAAAGAUGACGUAUACGAGCUGACGCCUGCCCGGUGCUGGAAGGUUAAAAGGAGAUGUGCAAGCAUUGAAUUGAAGCCCCAGUGAACGGCGGCCGUAACUAUAACGGUCCUAAGGUAGCGAAAUUCCUUGUCAGGUAAGUUCUGACCCGCAUGAAAGGCGUAAUGAUCUGGGCACUGUCUCAACAGCCCGCCCGGCGAAAUUGUAGUACCGGUGAAGAUGCCGGUUACCCGCGACAAGACGGAAAGACCCCAUGGAGCUUUACUGUAGCCUAAUAUUGGGUUUCGGUGUUGCAUGCACAGGAUAGAUGGGACGCUGGGAAGUGAGUGCUUUGGCAUUCAUGGAGCGGCCGUUGGGAUACCAUCCUUGCGACAUUGGAAUUCUAACCUGCGCCUUUGAAUCAAGGCGGGGGACAUUGUUAGGUGGGCAGUUUGACUGGGGCGGUCGCCUCCUAAAGAGUAGCGGAGGCGUUCAAAGGUUGGCUCGUCCUGGACGGAAACCAGGAGAGAGAGUGCAAACGCAAAAGCCAGCCUGACUGCGAGACUGACGGGUCGAGCAGAGACGAAAGUCGGAGUUAGUGAUCCGGUGGUAUGUGAGUGG
rnacentral:rRNA from 1 species